rnacentral:rRNA from 1 species
UAGGGAAUCUUCGGCAAUGGACGAAAGUCUGACCGAGCAACGCCGCGUGAGUGAAGAAGGUUUUCGGAUCGUAAAACUCUGUUGUUAGAGAAGAACAAGGACGUUAGUAACUGAACGUCCCCUGACGGUAUCUAACCAGAAAGCCACGGCUAACUACGUGCCAGCAGCCGCGGUAAUACGUAGGUGGCAAGCGUUGUCCGGAUUUAUUGGGCGUAAAGCGAGCGCAGGCGGUUUCUUAAGUCUGAUGUGAAAGCCCCCGGCUCAACCGGGGAGGGUCAUUGGAAACUGGGAGACUUGAAUGCAGAAGAGGAGAGUGGAAUUCCAUGUGUAGCGGUGAAAUGCGUAGAUAUAUGGAGGAACACCAGUGGCGAAGGCGGCUCUCUGGUCUGUAACUGACGCUGAGGCUCGAAAGCGUGAGGAGCAAACAGG